AGCUCACUAGUCGAGUGACACUGCGCCGAAGAUGUACCGGGGCUAAACACAAUACCGAAGCUGCGGACUUGCACGUAAGUGUAAGUGGUAGGGGAGCGUUCUAAGGGCGUUGAAGGUAGACCGUGAGGACUAUUGGAGCGCUUAGAAGUGAGAAUGCCGGUGUGAGUAACGAAAAUUGGGUGAGAAUCCCAUUCACCGUUUGACUAAGGGUUCCUGGGUAAAGUUCGUCUUCCCAGGGUAAGUCAGGACCUAAGAUGAGGCUGAAAAGCGUAGUCGAUGGACAACAGGUUGAUAUUCCUGUACCACCUAUAUGACUGAAGGAGUGACGGAGAAAGCUAACGAGGGCCAGUUAAUGGAUUCUGGUCUAAGUGCGUAGGCUAGUAUGUUGGCAAAUCCGCAAUACUAUAAUAGCUGAAACAUGAUGGGGAAGUGAGUCUUCGGACGAGCGAACUCUCGUGAUGCUAUGCUUCCAAGAAAAGCUUCUAGGGCUAAUUGUAUAGGUGCCUGUACCGACAACCGACACAGGUGGUCAAGGAGAGUAUCCUAAGGUGAGCGAGAGAACUAUGGUUAAGGAACUCGGCAAAAUGACCCCGUAACUUCGGGAGAAGGGGUGGUCUAGCGAUAGACCCGCAGUGAAUAGGCCCAGGCAACUGUUUACCAAAAACACAGGUCUCUGCUAACACGAAAGUGGAUGUAUAGGGGCUGACGCCUGCCCAGUGCUGGAAGGUUAAAGAGAUUAGUUAGUAUGACGUAAGUCGAUAAUACGAAGCUUUGAACUGAAGCCCCAGUGAACGGCGGCCGUAACUAUAACGGUCCUAAGGUAGCGAAAUUCCUUGUCAGGUAAGUUCUGACCCGCACGAAAGGCGUAAUGAUCUGGGUACUGUCUCAACCAUAGACUCGGUGAAAUCUUAAUACCUGUGAAAAUGCAGGUUACCCGCGACUGGACGGAAAGACCCCGUGGAGCUUUACUGUAGCUUGAUAUUGGGAUUCGGUAAAUUAUGUAGAGCAUAGGUGGGAGACUAUGAGAUUAAGGCGCCAGCCUUAAAGGAGUCAUCAUUGGAAUACCACCCUUAGUUUAUUGAAUUUCUAACCUAGGACCAUGAUCUGGUUCAGGGACAGUGUCUGGUGGGCAGUUUGACUGGGGCGGUCGCCUCCUAAAAUGUAACGGAGGCGUUCAAAGGUUCCCUCAGAAUGGUUGGAAAUCAUUCGCAGAGCGUAAAGGUAUAAAGGGAGCUUGACUGCGAGACCUACAAGUCAAGCAGGUGCGAAAGCAGGACUUAGUGAUCAGGCGAUUCAGAAUGGAAUGGUCGUCGCUUAACGGAUAAAAGUUACCCCGGGGAUAACAGGCUGAUACCACCCAAUAGUUCACAUAGACGGUGGUGUUUGGCACCUCGAUGUCGGCUCGUCAUAUCCUGGAGGUGGAGUUGCUUCCAAGGGUUGGGCUGUUCGCCCAUUAAAAUGGCACGCGAGCUGGGUUCAGAACGUCGUGAGACAGUUCGGUCCCUAUCCGUCGUGGGCGCAGGAAAAUUGAGGAGAGCUAUCCUUAGUACGAGAGGACCGGGAUGGACCUACCUCUGGUGUAUCUGUUGUCACGCCAGUGGCAGUGCAGAGUAGCUAUGUAGGGAAGGGAUAAACGCUGAAAGCAUCUAAGCGUGAAGCCCUCUCCAAGAUGAGUUUUCCCAUUGU
rnacentral:rRNA from 1 species